GCAAGUCGACGAUGAACUUGGAGCUUGCUCUGGGGGAUUAGUGGCGAACGGGUGAGUAACACGUGAGUAACCUGCCCUGGACUCUGGGAUAACCCCGAGAAAUCGGAGCUAAUACCGGAUAGGACCUGGAACCGCAUGGUUUUGGGUGGAAAGUUUUUUCGGUCUGGGAUGGACUCGCGGCCUAUCAGCUUGUUGGUGAGGUAAUGGCUCACCAAGGCGUCGACGGGUAGCCGGCCUGAGAGGGUGACCGGCCACACUGGGACUGAGACACGGCCCAGACUCCUACGGGAGGCAGCAGUGGGGAAUAUUGCACAAUGGGCGAAAGCCUGAUGCAGCAACGCCGCGUGAGGGAUGACGGCCUUCGGGUUGUAAACCUCUUUUAGUAGGGAAGAAGGGCUUCGGCUUGACGGUACCUGCAGAAAAAGCACCGGCUAACUACGUGCCAGCAGCCGCGGUAAUACGUAGGGUGCGAGCGUUGUCCGGAAUUAUUGGGCGUAAAGAGCUCGUAGGCGGUUUGUCACGUCUGCUGUGAAAUCCCGAGGCUCAACCUCGGGCCUGCAGUGGGUACGGGCAGACUGGAGUGCGGUAGGGGAGAUUGGAAUUCCUGGUGUAGCGGUGGAAUGCGCAGAUAUCAGGAGGAACACCGAUGGCGAAGGCAGAUCUCUGGGCCGUAACUGACGCUGAGGAGCGAAAGCGUGGGGAGCGAACAGGAUUAGAUACCCUGGUAGUCCACGCCGUAAACGUUGGGCGCUAGAUGUGGGGACCAUUCCACGGUUUCCGUGUCGUAGCUAACGCAUUAAGCGCCCCGCCUGGGGAGUACGGCCGCAAGGCUAAAACUCAAAGGAAUUGACGGGGGCCCGCACAAGCGGCGGAGCAUGCGGAUUAAUUCGAUGCAACGCGAAGAACCUUACCAAGGCUUGACAUAUACGAGAACGCCGCAGAAAUGUGGAACUCUUUGGACACUCGUAUACAGGUGGUGCAUGGUUGUCGUCAGCUCGUGUCGUGAGAUGUUGGGUUAAGUCCCGCAACGAGCGCAACCCUCGUCGUAUGUUGCCAGCACGUAAUGGUGGGAACUCAUAUGAGACUGCCGGGGUCAACUCGGAGGAAGGUGGGGAUGACGUCAAAUCAUCAUGCCCCUUAUGUCUUGGGCUUCACGCAUGCUACAAUGGCCGGUACAAAGGGCUGCGAUGUCGUAAGGCGGAGCGAAUCCCAAAAAGCCGGUCUCAGUUCGGAUUGAGGUCUGCAACUCGACCUCAUGAAGUCGGAGUCGCUAGUAAUCGCAGAUCAGCAACGCUGCGGUGAAUACGUUCCCGGGCCUUGUACACACCGCCCGUCAAGUCAUGAAAGUCGGUAACACCCGAAGCCGGUGGCCUAACCCUUGUGGAGGGAGCCGUCGAAGGUGGGAUCGGUGAUUAGGACUAAGUCGUAACAA
rnacentral:rRNA from 2 species